CUGCGCAGUGUGACCAGGAUGGCGCAUUUUCUUGCAUCGAGUAAUGCGGUGUUGCUGGCUGCUGAGGAGAGCGGAGCGUUCUGGGAUGAAGUAGGGGAAAGGAUUCAUGUAGGCGUCAGGAGGAGCCUUGGUCUGAACUAUAAAGUGGGGAGUUGACUCUGGGUACUGGUACUCCCGGACCGGCGGCGCGAAGGCUGUGAUCUCAUCGUUGAACCAUCAGCUUCAAAAUUCAAAAACAAUGGAGAAGACUCAAGAAACAGUCCAAAGAAUUCUUCUAGAACCCUACAAGUACUUGCUUCAAUUACCAGGAAUCUCUGUGAUUAGCCCCUAUUAGAAACUAUUUGGGGACUAGGAUCUGAUCAGAGGGAAAAAAGACGAAAACUGCAGUACCUGUAAGUUAAGCCAUUGUCUGCUUUCUGCAUACAUUCUGAAGUAAAAGGAAAAAUGUGGCUCCACCUUGAUUCUCUGUGUUCUUCA